CCCUUAGAUGUCCUGGGCCGCACGCGCGUUACACUGAUGCAUUCAACGAGCUUAUAACCUUGGCCGAGAGGCCUGGGCAAUCUUGUUAACGUGCAUCGUGAUAGGGAUAGAUUAUUGAAAUUAUUAAUCUUGAACGAGGAAUUCCUAGUAAACGCAGAUCAGCAAUCUGCAUUGAUUACGUCCCUGCCCUUUGUACACACCGCCCGUCGCACCUACCGAUUGGAUGGUCCGGUGAAGCCUCGGGAUUGUGGUUCUUGCCGCUUUAUUGUGGCGUGACCGCGAGAACUUGUCUAAACCUUAUCAUCUAGAGGAAGGUGAAGUCGUAACA
rnacentral:rRNA from 1 species